rnacentral:rRNA from 1 species
ACGAACGCUGGCGGCGUGCUUCACCCCUGCAGGUCGCACGGAAAGGCCCUGCUUUUGUGGGGUGCUCGAGUGGCGAACGGGUGAGUAACACGUGAGUAACCUGCCCUUGACUUUGGGAUAACUUCAGGAAACUGGGGCUAAUACCGGAUAGGAGCUCCUGCUGCAUGGUGGGGGUUGGAAAGUUUCGGCGGUUGGGGAUGGACUCGCGGCUUAUCAGCUUGUUGGUGGGGUAGUGGCUUACCAAGGCUUUGACGGGUAGCCGGCCUGAGAGGGUGACCGGCCACAUUGGGACUGAGAUACGGCCCAGACUCCUACGGGAGGCAGCAGUGGGGAAUAUUGCACAAUGGGCGGAAGCCUGAUGCAGCAACGCCGCGUGCGGGAUGACGGCCUUCGGGUUGUAAACCGCUUUCGCCUGUGACGAAGCGUGAGUGACGGUAAUGGGUAAAGAAGCACCGGCUAACUACGUG